ensembl:lncRNA
CUGUUAGAUGUAAAUUAUUUUGUGUUCUCGUAGUUGUGAACGCAGAGAACAGUUUAGGUGUCAGAAAUUCGGGAAAGUAGAUAAAUUUUAUUGUGCCUCCAAAUCUUACCUUGACUAGUUUCACAAUUUUGCCUCAAGUGUACUUUGCUACUUUUGAUAUUGCGUUGUUCUGUAACUUAACAGUUAAAUUGGGUGCUAAUAGAAAAUUAAAAAGUGUUUGCAACCAUUGGAACAAUGCAAAAAUAAAUUAGGAAAAAUUAAUGGUGUAAACCCACACCCCGUCGUCCUUACCCCUUCCUUUCCUUACCUUGUUUCUUCCCAGAAAACAAGUGCUGAGGAUGCGAAGUACAUCCUUCCACCUAUUUUCCCUAUCUUCAUACAGAAAGUAUGUUCUAAUAGUUUCUGUAAAAAUGGCAAGCCACAUGCUUUUCUCACUUGACAUGUAGAUGAUACCUCCUUAUCAGUAGCUUCGGUCUUUCUUGCUCUCUGGCUCUCCCUGGCCCUCACUCUUACUCUCUUGCACUCUCACUCUCCCCCUCCCUCCCUUCCUCUAACAGCUGAAUACACAGUACUUGCUGAUGUGCCAAAAAAGCAUUCAGUCAUUUCAUUAUUUAUCGUCUUUUAUUUCCCUUUUUUUUUUUUCAAAAUAACGCUGCUGUAAUACAUAAUACUGGUGCUUUUAUGUCUAUAGGUUGGAGUCCCAGAAAUACUAUGUAGGCAUAUGUUUCAGAAAUAUUACAAGAUUACUAUCCAAAAUGAAAGCACCCAUUUCAGCAUCCUCUUCAGCACUCUUUAAUGCUUGAAAAUAUGAAAGGCUAAAAAUUGCAUUGUAUUGCUUGUGACUUUAAUUGCCUUUUAUCUGAGUUCAAAGAGGUUUGUUGUUGCUGUCCUUAUUUCUGUUUGGAUUUUUCUCUGAUUUGCCUGUUCUUUCCCUUCGUUCAUGUAUCUAUUGAUGUUUUUCAUUAUAAAUUUGUAGAAAUUCUUACUACAUAGUGCAUAUGAAUCAUUUGUAGCUCUAAUGUGUUAUGAUUUUUUCAUCUUGACUUUAUUGAUCAUGUAUUUUCCUUUAAAAUUUUUAAACAUUUUAGGUAGACCACUAUCUCUUUUAUAGAUUUUGGUUUUCUUUUUUUACCACAUGGAUCCCCCCACCCAAAGUCAUACAAAUAUUCAUCUACAUUUUCUUCUAAUAACUUUAUUAUUUUUAAUGUUUAAAUGUUUGAUCCAUCUGAAAUUUAUUUUUGUAUAUGGUGUAAGAUGGGAAUCCAGCUAUAACAUUUUCUCACAUUGGAUACCUGAUUGUGACAUUUAUUUAAAAUAUUACCCAUUUUCAAAUUUCUGAGCCAAUAUCAUGAUUUAAUUAUAGUGGCUUCAUCGUAAGUUUUAGAAUCCGAUAAAGCAAGUCCCAUGUCAUUAGUUGUUUUCUUUAUACAAUCUGUCCUAGACAUUCAUUCUUUCAUGUGAAAAAAUGAAAUGCAGAAUUUUAAUAAAACUCUAAUUAUGAUGGCUGACAUCACAAUUAUAAUUAUAUUAAAAUCCUGCAUUUUUGUUUAGAGGGCUCUUUAAUAAUAUUAAAUCUUAGCACUCAAGAGUCUUCAUACAUCAUCGAAAUAUUUUGGUCUUGUUAUUGGAAUAUUCUUCACGUAAGUAUAUCAUAGCUAAUUGAAUUUAUUUCUAAGUAUUUUUACAGUUUUAUUUCAUAUUUUGACAUUGUGAAUUGGUUUUUUUCUUCUCAUUUGUAAUUUUCUAUUUUUGACAAUAUAGACAACCUAUAGAUUUUUGUAUUUUUAUCUUCUGUCUAAUAAGCUUAUUUAAUCAUUGAAAUUACAGUAGAUUUUUAAGAAUAUAAUAUUUUGGGUUUCCUAGAUAUGAAAUUAUUUCACCUGAAAAUAUAGAUCAUUUUAUUUCCUCUUAAUGUUUAUACUGAUUACUGUUACAUUAGCUGGAUUUUUCAAAACAAUGUUGAAUAGUGAUGAUGACAGACAUGACUGUCUUGUUCUUAAUUUUCAUGGAAGUAAGAAUGCAAAAUAUUAAUAGGGUAUAGUAUUCCCUAUUAGUAUGACAUUUACUUUUGGUUAUUAGUAGAUAGUCUUUAACAUGUUUAAGAGUUUCUGCUAUUCCUGUUUUAUAGUGUUAUUGCUAGAAGUGGUUCCUGAAUUUUAUAAAAUGUCUUUUCAGCAUCUAUUGAUAAAAUUGUAUGAUUUUUUUUCUCUUUAAUUUGUUGAUGUGAUGAAUUAGAAUGGUAGGUAUUUGAUGUGGAACUAAACUUGUAUUUCUGGAACAAAUCCUUCUUGGUCAUGGUGAAAUAAUGAUUUGCUACAUUACUGGAUUUUAUUUACCAGUACUUAAUUUAGAAUUAUUACAUUUUCAUUCCAAAGUAAAAUUGUAUUUUGUCCUUCUGAUGCUAUCUUUAUCAAGUUUUGUUAUUGAAGUUGUGCUAGCUUUAAAAAAUAUGAUUAUGUGAGUUUUCAAUUUUUUUUCCUGUGGUCUGGAAUAAUUUAAAUAGCAUUAGAAUUAUUUGUUCGUUAAAAGUUAGCUAGGACAAAGUGUAAAACAAUCUAAUCCUGAUGACACUUUUGAUGGUAGAUUUUUAAAUCAGCUUUGUGAUUUCUUUGAUAGUUACUGGUUUAUUCAGGUUUUUUAUUAAAAAGGUAUACACAUUCUCUGUGACAUACGAAGUUAAAAGUUGUCUCUAUUAUUGCUGAUUGUACUGGUUGUUGCUUGUUGACUGUACUAUUCAGAUGCUUUAUGAUUUUGCAUAUUUUAUGUCACCUAGUUCUAAUUCUGAAAACAUUGUAAUAAAAUAAUCAGCUAUAAUGGUA